rfam:Callithrix jacchus chromosome 22, whole genome shotgun sequence
UCUCAGGCAGUGAUUCUCCAAUGGGAAGCACUUCUUGUUGUCUGGAGUAAAGCAAAGUGCUUCCUUUUAGAGAGUUACUCCCUGAGA